AUGAUGAUGUCAGUCUUUCUACUGCUGGUCACACUGGGAGUCGUUGUACAGGAAUCCAUGGCAGAUAUAGUUAUGACUCAGAGUCCAGCUGCUCAGGCUGUUCAGCUGGGAGACACUGUCUCUAUCAGCUGUACAGCCAGUCAGAGUGUGGGCAGCGCCCUCGCCUGGUACCUGCAAAACAUGGUCAGGCUCCUAAACUUCUGAUUUAUUAUUCCUCAAAUCGCCAGUCUGGGAUUCCUGAUCGAUUCUGUGGGACUGGAUCUAGGACUCAUGCUACCCACUGCGCCAUCCGUGCCGCCCAGACUGAAGAUGCAGGAGAUUAUUACUGUCAGCAGGGCUACAGCUCGCCUUGGACUAGUCCAGGCGGGACAGAACCAUCACUUGGAUCAGGAGCUGGGUCGAGUGACACAGUCCUGCCCCCCUCCAAUGUGGAGCUGGAGAAGGGAAAGGCCACACUGGUGUGUCUGGCCAACCAGAGCUUCCCCUCACACUGGACUCUGCGCUGGAAAGUGGACGGUGCCAGCAGGAGCUCGGGCGUGGCCGGGAGCGUGGGGGUCCUGGGGAAGGACGGUCUGUACAGCUGGAGCAGCUCCCUGACUCUCAGUGAGGAAGACUGGAUGAAGGCAGGGUCACUGACCUGUGAGGCCACAAAGGGCUCCCUGUCUGCCCCCCCUCAGACACUGAGGAGAGCCCACUGUUCUUAGUAGGCCGGGUGGAGGCCCAGCUCACACACUGUGAUCACACUGUUUUUACCCUGUUCUGCUCCUUACUGCUGUCACGCUGAGCUGAGCCUGUGUGUGAAUCCUUCCUCCAGCCUGAGCUUCCAGUGCUAAUAUCUGACAUGUGCUCUGCUUGUGUUCUUCAGCAGUAUGCAAGCAUGCAUUCUUAUUUGUGUUUCUGUGAUUUUGGCAACAGCUGUUAAAUCAACAU